GAGAUUUCCCAUUUCUUCGGAAAGUAAGAUCCCUGAAAGAUGAUCAGGUAGAUAGGUUUGGAGUGGAAGUGUAGCGAUACAUGGAGCGGACAAAUACUAAUCGAUCGAGGACUUAACCAAAA
rnacentral:rRNA from 1 species